rnacentral:lncRNA from 1 species
CACACGAUUGUAUUAAGCAUAUCCCUAACAUUUCUUAGGACACACUAUUAGGAAAAAAUGAUCCAUUCUUGGUCUAAAACUCAAAUUCUACUGGAUAUCCUGUAUUUUAUUUCUCAGUUUGGCAGCCCUGCUAGCCUGGCAUCCAAUUCAGUGCUCCUGCUCAGAGAGGGUGAACCAAGACUGGCUGAGUUCAAUUGCUGUGUCUCAGCUGCAGCGGCCCCAGACCUAACUUCAGCCACAAGGGACAAACCCCUCCCCACCUCUCUUCCUGAACAUUGGCCGACGAAGCAAGGGAGGGAGGGACUCAUCCAGGCAACCACGGCUCCUACCAGGCUCCACAAGUACAGAAGAGCCAGUGCAAACGUCCCCUUCACCUGCGCCUGCGCUGAGCUGUUGAAGGUGACACUGUUCUCAUGGCCAGAGUCUCUGACGACCACCACGUUGCCCUAUCCACUGGCUGUUCCUCUGACUCGACCUCCCAGUGCGGCUGGCAUGGCUGACUGCGUCCUCUCUUGGAAUAGUCCUCCUGGCCUCCAGGAGGGACACCACUGUCCCCAGGAGCCUUACUGCCUCCUUUCUUGCCAGACCUCUCGCUGUUGGCGGGAGGGCUGGGUGCUCUGA